UACCUGCAGCUCUAGUGGUGACCACUACUAUUGGGCCUAAAGCGUCCGUAGCCGGCUUAUUAAAUGCCUGGGUAAAUCGUACGGCUUAACCGUACGAAUUCCGGGUAGACUGAUAGGCUUGGGACCGGGAGAAGCUAGAGGUACUCUUGGGGUAGAAGUGAAAUUCUGUAAUCCUAGGGGGACCACCAGUGGCGAAGGCGUCUAGCUAGAACGGGUCUGACGGUGAGGGACGAAGCCCUGGGGCGCAAACCGGAUUAGAUACCCGGGUAGUCCAGGGUGUAAACGCUGCUUGCUUGAUGUUAGUCGGGCUCCGAGCCCGAUUAGUGUCGGAGAGAAGUUGUUAAGCAAGCUGCCUGGGAAGUACGGCCGCAAGACUGAAACUUAAAGGAAUUGGCGGGGAGCACAGCAACGGGUGGAGCGUGCGGUUU
rnacentral:rRNA from 1 species